UACGGAAGGCAGCAGGGGGAAUAUUGCACAAUGGGCGCAAGCCUGAUGCAGCCAUGCCGCGUGUAUGAAAAAGGCCUUCGGGUUGUAAAGUACUUUCAGUCGUGAGGAAGGUGUUAAGGUUAAUAACCUUAGCAAUUGACGUUAGCGACAGAAGAAGCACCGGCUAACUCCGUGCCAGCAGCCGCGGUAAUACGGAGGGUGCGAGCGUUAAUCGGAAUUACUGGGCGUAAAGGGCACGCAGGCGGUUAAUUAAGUUGGAUGUGAAAUCCCCGGGCUUAACCUGGGAAUGGCAUUCAAGACUGGUUAGCUAGAGUCUUGUAGAGGGGGUAGAAUUCCAUGUGUAGCGGUGAAAUGCGUAGAGAUGUGGAGGAAUACCGGUGGCGAAGGCGGCCCCUGGACAAAGACUGACGCUCAUGUGCGAAAGCGUGGGGAGCAAACGAGGAUUAGAUACC
rnacentral:rRNA from 1 species